rnacentral:rRNA from 1 species
UGGGGAAUCUUCCGCAAUGGACGAAAGUCUGACGGAGCAACGCCGCGUGAGUGAAGAAGGUUUUCGGAUCGUAAAACUCUGUCUUUUGGGGCGAACGUGAGUAUGGUGAACAAUCAUAGUCAGUGACGGUACCAAAGGAGGAAGCCACGGCUAACUACGUGCCAGCAGCCGCGGUAAUACGUAGGUGGCAAGCGUUGUCCGGAAUUAUUGGGCGUAAAGAGCGCGUAGGCGGGAUAGUCAGUCUGUUGUAAAGUGCGGGGCUCAACCCCGUGAUGGCAAUGGAAACAGCUAUUCUUGAGUGCAGGAGAGGAAAGUGGAAUUCCCAGUGUAGCGGUGAAAUGCGUAGAUAUUGGGAGGAACACCAGUGGCGAAGGCGACUUUCUGGACUGUGUCUGACGCUGAGGCGCGAAAGCCAGGGGAGCGAACGGGAUUAGAUACCCCCGGUAGUCCUGGGCCGUAAAACGAUGGGGUACUAGGUGUGGGAGGUAUCGACCCCCUUUCCGUGCCGGAGUUAACGCAAUAAGUACCCCGCCUGGGGAGUACGGUCGCAAGACUGAAACUCAAAUGAAUUGACGGGGGUCAUAGCUGUUUCCUG